rnacentral:rRNA from 1 species
GUUUCCCUACGGGGCGCAGCAGUGGGGGAUAUUGCACAAUGGGGGAAACCCUGAUGCAGCGACGCCGCGUGAGCGAUGAAGUAUUUCGGUAUGUAAAGCUCUAUCAGCAGGGAAGAAAAUGACGGUACCUGACUAAGAAGCCCCGGCUAACUACGUGCCAGCAGCCGCGGUAAUACGUAGGGGGCAAGCGUUAUCCGGAUUUACUGGGUGUAAAGGGAGCGUAGACGGCUGUGCAAGUCUGAAGUGAAAGCACAGGGCUCAACCCUAGGACUGCUUUGGAAACUGUGGAGCUAGAGUGCAGGAGG